UAUAGCUGGAUAACAGGGUCUUUCAUUUUAGCCACCUGUAUUUCUGGCCUUGCCUGCUUUUUGUAAAGUCUGAGCCUUGGCCGAAAGGUGGGCACAGUGACCUGAAGAACAUUGAUCGUUAAGCUAAACGGCUAAAUAAAAAGCAGGGAGCAUAUAAAUGUCCACAUCAGAUUCAAGCUUCUGCGAAAAGUCGCAUCGAUCAUGGCGGAUGUCUGGAUAUUCUAACUGCGCAACAACGAGAAAGAAGAAACGGGGAUGUUCUCAAGCGACUAUUUCGCCAUGCAAUAAUAGGCUUUUAGAGGACACGACGAGAGGGAAAGUUCCGCUAAAAAGUGCAACUACAGCGGCUGCUGGUGGCUGGCCCGCUCCAGGAGUCUGAGGUGCGGGAAGUUCCUCCACCCCCUCUAGACAUCGGGGGGCCCCGGCGUACUCCGUUCGCUCCAUACUGGAUUUGAGGCGUCGGGCGAGGGGCCUUCAGUAUCUCGUGGAGUGGGAGGGGUACGGUCUGGAGGAGAGGUGCUGGGUUCCGGUCGAGGACAUGUUGGACCCUUCAAUGCUGCAGGAGUUCCACCGUCUUCGCCCGGGUCGCCCUGCGCCUCGACCUCCGGGUCGUCCCCGAGGCCGGUGUCGACGCACUGCUGGAGCCGCGUCAAGGGGGGGAGUACUGUCACGACUUCCGCCGAAGUUGGUCCCUCUCCUUGUUCGUUCGGCGUUCGAAGUCACUGACCUUCUAGCCAUCGCUAAUCCACUUUUCAUUUUCUAUUGUUUUUGUCUUGUCUUCCAUCACACCUGGUUCCAAUUCCAUCAAUUACACGUUGUGUAUUUAACCCUCUGUUCCCCCUCAUGUCCUUGUCGGUAAUGGUUUCUGGUAGUGCUUUAGCACGGUAUGCUGGUAUUUACCAGGUCUUGUUUGACUCAUUUAUUGUAUUGUUCUGUUGACGGUGGUUUCUGGAUAUUAAAGGACACUGUUGUAA